GAAUUCGAGUGGAAUUCGUGACCGAAAUCACCCAGCGUGAAGAUGAAAGCAAAAAAAUAGUUUUGCUGGAUGGCUUGUGGAACCAAAGUAGAAAUGAGUUGAACUGACGGUGUUCAGAAGGCUCUGCAUUUGCUGGGCUUGCCGGUACAUGCUUCUGAUCCUACCUCUUCGGAGGCAGAGAGGCAGUGAACGCAUCUGAAGGAGAACUGACUGGGGCUAGCCAAGUAGUCUGUGGCUGAGACUAAGAGGUAUUAGCUUAUUUGUACAUGGAAUAAGGCCAGUGCUUGCACACAUUGGUGCCAUUAACAUUCCUCCCCAGCCAUUGAGCCAAUUACCCACAGACUAGUUAACAGACACAUCUCAGAGAACAAAACCCUUGCAAAGAACUGUGCCCAGGCAGUUCAGUGUCAGAUGGACCAAGUGGAGCUGAUGCCUGGGAUGGA